rnacentral:rRNA from 1 species
GUGGGGAAUAUUGGACAAUGGGCGAAAGCCUGAUCCAGCCAUGCCGCGUGUGUGAAGAAGGUCUUCGGAUUGUAAAGCACUUUAAGUUGGGAGGAAGGGCAGUAAGUUAAUACCUUGCUGUUUUGACGUUACCGACAGAAUAAGCACCGGCUAACUUCGUGCCAGCAGCCGCGGUAAUACGAAGGGUGCAAGCGUUAAUCGGAAUUACUGGGCGUAAAGCGCGCGUAGGUGGUUCAGCAAGUUGGAGGUGAAAUCCCCGGGCUCAACCUGGGAACUGCCUCCAAAACUACUGAGCUAGAGUACGGUAGAGGGUAGUGGAAUUUCCUGUGUAGCGGUGAAAUGCGUAGAUAUAGGAAGGAACACCAGUGGCGAAGGCGACUACCUGGACUGAUACUGACACUGAGGUGCGAAAGCGUGGGGAGCAAACAGGAUUAGAUACCCGGGUAGUCC